GCUGGGCAUGGUGGCGGGUGCCUGUAAUCCCAGCUACUCAGGAGGCUGAAGCAGGAGAAUUGCUUGAACCCAGGAGGCGGAGGUUGCAGUGAGCCGAGAUCAUGCCACUGCACUCUAGCCUGGGCAACAGAGCAAGACUCUGUCUCAA
rfam:Homo sapiens chromosome 17, GRCh38 reference primary assembly.